rnacentral:rRNA from 1 species
AUGGCACUACGUUUUGGCAUAUUACUUGCACAAAAGGCGAGAAGCAACCGACUUGUUGUUAACUCCGACAAUAUGGAAGUAAUUGACACAAUGAAGAAUGGAGGACAUACAGCGGGAGCGGCGGCAGCUGUGUUUGAUGAUUGUUAUUUUAUGGCUUAUGAUUUUCUGGUAGUUAGAUUUGAACAUUGUAAUAGGGAGGCUAAUAAAGUAUCUCAUGAAAUUGCUAGAGUAGCUAAAUUUUCUGAGACAAGGGAUUGGUUUGAGGAACCUAUGAACCAUAUUGUAAAUUUUCUUAUAGACGAUGUAACCAUUAUUACUAAUAAAUAA